GCACAGAAUUAGGGGUGCCGUAAGGCUGAGAAAUACCCUUUGAACCUGAUUUGGCUUAUACCAACGUAGGAAAAUUCAUGCUGUAUUAC
rfam:Piscirickettsia sp. Y2 scaffold00001, whole genome shotgun sequence.